CAAUAAGCGGAGGAAAAGAAACCAACAGGGAUUGCCUUAGUAACGGCGAGUGAAGCGGCAACAGCUCAAAUUUGAAAUCUGGUUACUUCGUAGCCCGAGUUGUAAUUUGUAGAGGAUGCUUUUGGUGAGGUGCUUUCUGAGUUCCCUGGAACGGGACGCCAAAGAGGGUGAGAGCCCCGUACAGUUAGAUACCAAUCCUUUGUAUAGCUCCUUCGACGAGUCGAGUAGUUUGGGAAUGCUGCUCUAAAUGGGAGGUAUAUCUCUUCUAAAGCUAAAUAUAGGCUAGAGACCGAUAGCGCACAAGUAGAGUGAUCGAAAGAUGAAAAGCACUUUGAAAAGAGAGUUAAACAGCACGUGAAAUUGUUGAAAGGGAAGCGCCUAUGACCAGACUUGUUUCUAUCAGUUUUGGUAGUUUUCGGACUGCUUUACUCUGUUAGUACAGGCCAACAUCAGUUUGUUGUCGGGGAGAAAGGUUUAGGGAAUGUGGCUCUUUCGGGAGUGUUAUAGCCCUUUACAUAAUACCCUUCGGCAGACUGAGGACCGCGCUUCGGCAAGGAUGUUGGCGUAAUGG
rnacentral:rRNA from 1 species